AGAUUUAUAAAAUUAAUUUUUAGAUAGUUUUAUUGCAAAACUUAUAAUUUUGAGAAUAAGGUGGUCACUUUUAACAAUAUUUACUUAGUUUACCAUUGGUUGAACAAUGGGCCCUAAGUUGUUGACAUUAUUUCUCUUCAACAACAAGAACUGAAUACCGUUUAAACGCUAACCUAACUAUUGUAUAGUGAAAGAUAAAACUGGUCAAGAUUUUCAGCUAAGGAAUUGACUCUAUCAUCUAAACAAAAACCAAAUGGCCAGGAGCAGAGACAAGGGGACAAAAAUUAUCACGCACACAUGUGGGCCUGUGUGAAGAACAUCUUCAAGACACCUAGUGGACAUACGUACGUGGUCUUCGAGAGGGUUACCGUCUAUUUUUAAACGCAGUCGGUGAACUAUAUGCGUGUUCUUGAACGAGAGGGAGAUAACUUUUUAAGAUAUUCAACGGAGUGACUGACACUACUAAAGAAGAUGAAAUCUUAUAAACCCAUUGAAAGAGAAAUUAGCAUUGAAUGGGCGCAGCGAUGGUGACGUCAGUGGGGGCGAGCCCGGGUCAACUCAUUGUCCACCCGACCCGUGGAUGAUUGAACCUCACCUCGAACCUAUUGUUUCAUUUUUCGUGUUCAAACUCCUACAUAUUGACUUGUAUAUGUAUGUUAUUAUAAUGUAGGGAUAUACUGCUGCAGUUUUUUGUACAGCAACAGAAUAAAAUUUGGUUAUUAUUUAUGUCAAGAUGGGUUAACUUGACAUAUGUACAAGGUGGCGCAGUGAAAAGUUUCCAUCCCGGGGAUUUUUUGAGAGUGAUACCUCAUUUGAAAGAACUUUUUAUUCUCUAUAUUUACACCUUAUUUUUUAAAUGUGUGCUGCGUUGCCGAGUUAAGGUUAUUUAAACAUUGUCAAUUUCUUAUUAUUAGACAUUAUUC